CCCCCGCCGCCGCCGCCGCCGGGCCCCCCGCGCCGCCGCCGCUCGCCGCCGGGUUGGCAGCGCCGCACUGGUUGUAGCAGAGACCCGAGCCUAUGCCAUCCCCAAGACACCCCGAUUUGUGCCCAGCAGUUCCUCAGAAUAAUUAGCUCAGAGUGACAGGCCGCUGCUGCUGACACCGGGGCUGGAGCACCACAUUACCAGGAGCACUUAAGGUGUUACCCUGCACAUACCAGGAGCCACAGCUCUCCCCAGGGACAGGCUGAUCCGCGCUGGCCUGAUCCUUCGCCUGGCCAUGCGCUGAUGCCACCAAGAUCCUGGAAGAUCUGCUUGGCAGGCAGGCGCGCUGGCCAGCGGGUCCCCACUGAUGACCAUCUCACCAGCCGGUGUGAGUUGGAAAAUGGUGUGGGGGGCAGGAGGAGGCUGAAAAGCAGAAGAUUAAUUAAGAGGCUGUGCCACUGUCUUGCUGUGAUCUCAGUAACUGAACCGUUAAAGUGUUUUAUUCUUCAAGGGGUAAUUACAUUCCCCCUUUCUCUAUUAUCCGUCCCCUGAUCUGUGUUCAGCUCUUGGAGGUGCAUGCACAUGCAUUCAGGAUCAAAUGUGUGGUCCUUGAUUCAGCACGUUCAAUGAGGAGAUGUCCUGGCUGCCCCUUCUGUUUUCUGUGCCUUUGCGUUACAGUUUCUGUAAUACACAAAGACGUUCUCUUUCUAUUGAUUCAAAGCUCUCAGACCCUUGUAUAGCUCAGGGAUCCACUGAUUAACCACAACAGACGCUGCUGUGGCACAUUGCAGCAGUGUUGUUACACCACUAAUUUUGAUCAAGAGCUUCUGACCUGGUUUUGUAUCAUGUUAUCAGAUACCUGUUUCUGCUGCCUUACGUGCCAGCGGGUUUCUGCUGCAUUUUUUGGAGCUGUGUUACGCUUCACGUGGACGAGUUUGGCAAACCCCUGUAGCCACAGCUAUGCCGGGGUACGGAGCUGGCCGUCCUACUAGUCCCUUCUGGCAUCUGGCCUGUGCAUGCAGGAAUGAGCAGGAGCCUUUAGAGGAACAGUUCUUUUUUUCCUGUGAAAUCUUUCUUUUAUUAAUAAUAACCAAACAUUAAAUACAGAUACAUUCUCCUUUAAAAACACCACAUCCUUUUGUCUUUCACGCCAUUUGCAUAGCACAUCACAGACUCACACCCUCUUGCUGGCUGAGCUGCUUCCAUGCAUUUCAGCGUCACCCUUUUUACUCACAAAUGUGAUUAUCUGGCCGCCUGCCCGGUCCCCGCUCAGUCCUGUCUGCCUUGCGGAUGCUUCGUUUGGGCCAUAAACGUUAGAGGGAGCUAAAGACUGCUGCGUGCGCCCAACCGGGCGGCUGGGGGGGUUGGACGCUUCUGAUUCCUGGCAGGGGUGGCCUGCAGCCCCGCCGCAGGGCGGGUGGCACGGCUGGCUGGCCCCGCAGCCCUUCGGCUGCAGAACGGUGACCGGGAGGGUCACCAAGAGGCGCCUGCCCUGCCCGGGAGGUGCAGGGGAUGGGGAUGGAAGGGGGGGUGGAGGCCGAGGCCUCUCUGUCACAGCGUUCCCUCCUCCCAGAUCCCAGCAAAUCCCCAGCUGGGCCACCCGUGAGAAGCAGUGGCUGUCUCUCCGAGGGGUCAAUGCGCCUGCCAGGGAGGACGAGCGCUUCUCCCGCACGCGGGGAGGAGAUUCGACACCCACCGGGGCGAUACAGCGCCGGCAAUCCCUCCCGGGGCAACGCCGAUCUCCCCGGCACCGCCACCCUUCUCUGUGCCUUACUCACCCUGCCAGCCCUGCAGCGGCUUGUUAGACAGAUCCGAUUUAUUCGGCACGUGAUGAAGUAAACAAGGAUGAUUUGUAUUGCGGCAACAGCCAGAGGCUCAGCUCAGGACCAAAGUAAAGAGACACAGCUACAAAAAUACGAAUGGAUAAUAUGGAUAGCACAGAAAUCUGCGUGGGACACCGUCGCCUUGGCUCUGUGGGAUGAGGCGAGGUGUUUGCUACAGUGUCCCCCGACCAACACAGCAGCGAGCAGCAGUGUAAUAGACAAAAGAAAUACAGUCAAAGAGUAGUGCCAUAUGGGAGACUUUAACAGCCCAAAACUAAAUCUGAGAACAAACGCUCCUAAAAAUGGCACGGCGCCGUUAUUUCUGGAUCUGAUAGCCAACAGAUUUCUUCACAAAUCAGGCACUCAGGAAAAGGCAGCACUAUUUUAGAUGGGGUAAUCGCAAGAUGAUAAAAAGCGUAACCACAGCAAUAACUGUGGGUGGGGAAUUGGUGUGAUUCAGUUGGUGUUAGAUGAAGGCUGACCAAAUACAGGGCUGGAAAUAAAGGGUCUUGGUUGCACAAGGGCAAGCUGUGAGCAGCUGGGAUGAAACUGGUGCGACUGGACUGCUCAGAGUUUGAUGGCGGAGGACACCUGGACUUUCUUAACCUUGUAGAGGCAAAAAAAUACGUUUGGACUAUGUAUUCCAAGCAAAAGCUAGGAGCGCGGAGGUGGCUUUUACUUGGUUGAGCAGGUCACUUCAAAGGAGUUACGUUAAGACGAACUGAAGCUCCGAGGGGGACUGCGUGGCAAAGACAGAAGCAUCCUGGGUGUUGGGUAAAGUGGGACCAGAUGAGAAGAUGAAUCACGAGGCCCGUGACCCGCUGCAGCCACGGGCAGCAGCGGAGUCUUGAAGGGCACAGCCGGAGAUGCGCUCCCGGCCUUCGGGAAAACCUGACGCUGCUGCUCUCCCGCUGACCGACCGCAGCUCCCAGGGCCUGUGCAAUUCCACCCGGAGCCGAAAUCCUGUGGGAAAGCCAAACCUGCCCCCCGUGGCUCUCCAAAAGCCACACUUCCCCAUCCCAGCCCACAGACACGGGGCUGACCGAGGCGUUUUCCAGCGGGGAGGAGAUGGCCGUGCUGUGCCGUGCUGGUGCGGCGGGACCCGCCUGUCGCUGGGUGCUCAGGGGCAGCACUGGGCCGCAGGCAGGGCCGGCCCUCUGCGCUCCCUCAGAUGGCUACAGAGGGGGAACCUGCACACCUACACACCAACCACAAAAUGACACCAGAAUGGCACAUUCUACAAAAAAAAAAAAAAAACAACACAACCCUGACUUGGUUUGUUUUGGUUGCCUGGACAGGAGUGGUGAUUCACUGCAAAAUGCACAGUGCUUCAUACCUUCUCUACCCAUCCUGUAAAACAUUUUAAAAGCACAAAAAGGAAAACUAACCUUUUUUUUUUGCUCCAAAACAGCCCUUCACACCUUCCUCUCCACACGCCCUGCCUGGUUUUGGGGCUCACUGACUGUUUAGGAGACCAGUCUGGGCCUGAGGGUAUGCAUGUUCCUCACUUCAGGCUUUCUUUUGAGCAGCUGGGGAAUCAAAACAUCGGCUAACCAUCCGGGGGGGUCAUCUCCUCUCACCCAUAUGGCCAGGCUUAGACCCAAAAUACUGACGACACCUCAUCUGCCCCCGUGCCCUGCGCUGGCACCGGGCGCGACCCCACCAGCCACCCAAGCGCCGCGGCCGCUCGCACGACUUGACGUCUCGAUUAAACCCGGAGAACGGGACAACUGACACGAGCCACCACGUCACCCAAAGCCCGACCGACCCGCUCUGGCACCCCGGCCACCCCAGCAGCUCCGCAGUGGCCCCUUUGGGCUCGCGGUGCCACCGGGCCAGCGUGGGCAGCAUCGCCGCCGCUCCUGCUGCUGGGCUUUUCUCCAACGCCAAUCGACGCAGACUUAUUUAUAGCGCCCUUAUCCCAGCGGGAGAGCCUAUUUUGGGCUGAUGCUCAAGCACCAGAGCAGCGCAGGUUAUUUUAACCCAGUGUGGGUUUAUUUUCGGAGCUGCCCUUUUCCGCACGUGCUCCGAGAUGGUUUCCAACUACCAGGCAUUUUCUGGGGGGUGGUGAAGAAAAAGGGACCACGCGAAGAAAUUUUACAGAGAUUAAAACCUAAACUAGCCUCUGCA